rnacentral:RNase_P_RNA from 1 species
GGUAGGGGGCAAGCUCUGGUCGGUGCCUGCGUUUAAACACAAAGGUGCUGAGGAAAGUCCGCCCACCAUCAAAAAGUCACCUAUAUUAUAGGAUCUCGAAAGGGAUGGCAACGGCUCAGAAACGGUACGGCCUUUUAGCGCUGUGAUGCAAAGAAAACUCCAGUAAUGGAAUAAAUAACUUGCUGAGUAUGUUAAUAGGAAACGUUGAAACGGCGAGUCCUGACUGGUGCAAGACAUUUACUGUCGCUUAGUCGAAUGGAGCACAGACCGUCUGAUUACAGGGUCUGACAGAAGGUGGCUUAAUGUCCUCUACC